AUGUUAGUGGAAUUAACAUAUGCCCCACCCCAAGUGACUUCUAAAGGGCUAACUCACCACAAGGGAGUCAGAGCAGAUCUUGGACUGAGACCUACAGGACACAGCGACUCUUAAAUAGGUGGCUCACCAGGAGAAAGGCAUAGCAGAACCUGGACUGAGACCUACGGGAGACAGGCAGACACACAGGAGGUUGGACGUCGAGAGGAGCACAUCAGUGCAAGAACACAUGGGUGGCUGCCACUUCUCUCCCUUUCCUGAGAGGGAAAAACUCUCGACGCUGAGAGGAAUCCACCAACAGGCACCAGCACUCUGGCAGGCCACCGACCAAUGGAUUGACAUAGAGUUUGGCUGGGGCAGCCAGAGGAGAGCCUGGGCCGCUGAAUAACCCGACUUCAGGGGAAAACUAUUCUCCCUUUUGGCUCCCCCAUCUGCUGAGAGCUACUUCCACUCAAUAAAACCUUGCACUCAUUCUCCAAGA